GGCCCACCAAGGCGACGAUCAGUAGGGGUUCUGAGAGGAAGGUCCCCCACAUUGGAACUGAGACACGGUCCAAACUCCUACGGGAGGCAGCAGUGAGGAGUAUUGGUCAAUGGACGAGAGUCUGAACCAGCCAAGUAGCGUGCAGGAUGACGGCCCUAUGGGUUGUAAACUGCUUUUAUAAGGGAAUAAAGUGAGUCUCGUGAGACUUUUUGCAUGUACCUUAUGAAUAAGGACCGGCUAAUUCCGUGCCAGCAGCCGCGGUAAUACGGAAGGUCCGGGCGUUAUCCGGAUUUAUUGGGUUUAAAGGGAGCGUA
rnacentral:rRNA from 1 species